AGAUGAUUAAAUUAAAUGUUCCACAUGUUUCCUUAAGAAGGAGUUUACAGUGACAAUAAGAUUUCUGAACCAUGACAAACCUUCUAUAGAAGAAGUUUCCAACAGUUUAGAUUUGGCCAUGUUAUUCUGAAGCAAGUUAAGUAGGUUUUGCCAUUGGGAUGCAAGGCCGUGGGGUUCACUUUGAACUUGACAUGCCACCUUGUGGAAAUUGGAGGCAAUAAAAAAUGUGGCCAUUGAAUACUACUCUAUAAUAAUUAUAUGAUACAGGCUAACAUUUAUUAAGGGCUUACCAUGUGCUAUGCACUAUGUGGAAUACCUUUUAAGUGUUUUUUUUCAUUUAUUUUUCAAAACAAUCUUAUGAGGUAGGUACUAUUGUUGUCCCAUUUUAAAGACGAGGAAUAUGUGGCUUAGAAAGGUAAUUGCCUGAAGUCCAAUGCAUACAAGGCAAAACAGAUGUGAGUAGAAGGGUUAGAGGGUUACCUCAUUGGGGCUUUUUUUUUUUCUGCAGAAUUCUCUUGUGUGAUCACUACUGUGUUCAAGUUCUCACCUUCUUCAAACUCACUCAUGCACAGAGACAGAGUCUCCUGAUG
rnacentral:lncRNA from 1 species